GAAGUCUGACGGAGCACGCCGCGUGAGUGAUGAAGGUUUUCGGAUCGUAAAACUCUGUUGUUAGGGAAGAACAAGUACCGUUCGAAUAGGGCGGUACCUUGACGGUACCUAACCAGAAAGCCACGGCUAACUACGUGCCAGCAGCCGCGGUAAU
rnacentral:rRNA from 1 species